CUCAGGUCAGAGAUCACUCAUACUGCAGUACUGGGAGCUGUGGUCCUGUAGCCCACUGAGCUAAAGGCAUCAGGUCUCAGGUCAGAGAUCACUCAUACUGCAGUACUGGGAGCUGUGGUCCUGUAGCCCACUGAGCUAAAGGCAUCAGGUCAGAGAUCACUCAUACUGCAGUACUGGGAGCUGUGGUCCUGUAGCCCACUGAGCUAAAGGCAUCAGGUCAGAGAUCACUCAUACUGCAGUACUGGGAGCUGUGGUCCUGUAGCCCACUGAGCUAAAGGCAUCAGGUCAGAGAUCACUCAUACUGCAGUACUGGGAGCUGUGGUCCUGUAGCCCACUGAGCUAAAGGCAUCAGGUCUCAGGUCAGAGAUCACUCAUACUGCAGUACUGGGAGCUGUGGUCCUGUAGCCCACUGAGCUAAAGGCAUCAGGUCUCAGGUCAGAGAUCACUCAUACUGCAGUACUGGGAGCUGUGGUCCUGUAGCCCACUGAGCUAAAGGCAUCAGGUCUCAGGUCAGAGAUCACUCAUACUGCAGUACUGGGAGCUGUGGUCCUGUAGCCCACUGAGCUAAAGGCAUCAGGUCUCAGGUCAGAGAUCACUCAUACUGCAGUACUGGGAGCUGUGGUCCUGUAGCCCACUGAGCUAAAGGCAUCAGGUCUCAGGUCAGAGAUCACUCAUACUGCAGUACUGGGAGCUGUGGUCCUGUAGCCCACUGAGCUAAAGGCAUCAGGUCUCAGGUCAGAGAUCACUCAUACUGCAGUACUGGGAGCUGUGGUCCUGUAGCCCACUGAGCUAAAGGCAUCAGGUCUCAGGUCAGAGAUCACUCAUACUGCAGUACUGGGAGCUGUGGUCCUGUAGCCCACUGAGCUAAAGGCAUCAGGUCUCAGGUCAGAGAUCACUCAUACUGCAGUACUGGGAGCUGUGGUCCUGUAGCCCACUGAGCUAAAGGCAUCAGGUCUCAGGUCAGAGAUCACUCAUACUGCAGUACUGGGAGCUGUGGUCCUGUAGCCCACUGAGCUAAAGGCAUCAGGUCUCAGGUCAGAGAUCACUCAUACUGCAGUACUGGGAGCUGUGGUCCUGUAGCCCACUGAGCUAAAGGCAUCAGGUCUCAGGUCAGAGAUCACUCAUACUGCAGUACUGGGAGCUGUGGUCCUGUAGCCCACUGAGCUAAAGGCAUCAGGUCUCAGGUCAGAGAUCACUCAUACUGCAGUACUGGGAGCUGUGGUCCUGUAGCCCACUGAGCUAAAGGCAUCAGGUCUCAGGUCAGAGAUCACUCAUACUGCAGUACUGGGAGCUGUGGUCCUGUAGCCCACUGAGCUAAAGGCAUCAGGUCUCAGGUCAGAGAUCACUCAUACUGCAGUACUGGGAGCUGUGGUCCUGUAGCCCACUGAGCUAAAGGCAUCAGGUCUCAGGUCAGAGAUCACUCAUACUGCAGUACUGGGAGCUGUGGUCCUGUAGCCCACUGAGCUAAAGGCAUCAGGUCUCAGGUCAGAGAUCACUCAUACUGCAGUACUGGGAGCUGUGGUCCUGUAGCCCACUGAGCUAAAGGCAUCAGGUCUCAGGUCAGAGAUCACUCAUACUGCAGUACUGGGAGCCGUGGUCCUGUAGCCCACUGAGCUAAAGGCAUCAGGUCUCAGGUCAGAGAUCACUCAUACUGCAGUACUGGGAGCUGUGGUCCUGUAGCCCACUGAGCUAAAGGCAUCAGGUCUCAGGUCAGAGAUCACUCAUACUGCAGUACUGGGAGCUGUGGUCCUGUAGCCCACUGAGCUAAAGGCAUCAGGUCUCAGGUCAGAGAUCACUCAUACUGCAGUACUGGGAGCUGUGGUCCUGUAGCCCACUGAGCUAAAGGCAUCAGGUCUCAGGUCAGAGAUCACUCAUACUGCAGUACUGGGAGCUGUGGUCCUGUAGCCCACUGAGCUAAAGGCAUCAGGUCUCAGGUCAGAGAUCACUCAUACUGCAGUACUGGGAGCCGUGGUCCUGUAGCCCACUGAGCUAAAGGCAUCAGGUCUCAGGUCAGAGAUCACUCAUACUGCAGUACUGGGAGCCGUGGUCCUGUAGCCCACUGAGCUAAAGGCAUCAGGUCUCAGGUCAGAGAUCACUCAUACUGCAGUACUGGGAGCUGUGGUCCUGUAGCCCACUGAGCUAAAGGCAUCAGGUCUCAGGUCAGAGAUCACUCAUACUGCAGUACUGGGAGCCGUGGUCCUGUAGCCCACUGAGCUAAAGGCAUCAGGUCUCAGGUCAGAGAUCACUCAUACUGCAGUACUGGGAGCCGUGGUCCUGUAGCCCACUGAGCUAAAGGCAUCAGGUCUCAGGUCAGAGAUCACUCAUACUGCAGUACUGGGAGCUGUGGUCCUGUAGCCCACUGAGCUAAAGGCAUCAGGUCUCAGGUCAGAGAUCACUCAUACUGCAGUACUGGGAGCUGUGGUCCUGUAGCCCACUGAGCUAAAGGCAUCAGGUCUCAGGUCAGAGAUCACUCAUACUGCAGUACUGGGAGCCGUGGUCCUGUAGCCCACUGAGCUAAAGGCAUCAGGUCUCAGGUCAGAGAUCACUCAUACUGCAGUACUGGGAGCCGCGGUCCUGUAGCCCACUGAGCUAAAGGCAUCAGGUCUCAGGUCAGAGAUCACUCAUACUGCAGUACUGGGAGCCGUGGUCCUGUAGCCCACUGAGCUAAAGGCAUCAGGUCUCAGGUCAGAGAUCACUCAUACUGCAGUACUGGGAGCCGCGGUCCUGUAGCCCACUGAGCUAAAGGCAUCAGGUCUCAGGUCAGAGAUCACUCAUACUGCAGUACUGGGAGCCGCGGUCCUGUAGCCCACUGAGCUAAAGGCAUCAGGUCAGAGAUCACUCAUACUGCAGUACUGGGAGCCGUGGUCCUGUAGCCCACUGAGCUAAAGGCAUCAGGUCUCAGGUCAGAGAUCACUCAUACUGCAGUACUGGGAGCCGCGGUCCUGUAGCCCACUGAGCUAAAGCCUCAAGGCAUCAGGUCUCAGGUCAGAGGUCACUCAUCAUGCGAGUGCAGUCAUCUGUUAUGUUCC